AUAUUGAAAAGUGUAAGGCAAUAAUAACUGAAACGGACUUAUACAGAUCUUCCACAAAGUGACCAACGGACUGUCGGAUUACUAAAGCUUGGUCGAGUAUCGAGGUAAAUAUAUUUAAAUGCGUUUGCAUAUAAACUGAACAACGUAUGAAACGUGUAGAUGAUGCUUUUCUGCAUUUAUUAACGACUGCAAUUGUUUGUGAAAUACCAUUGACAUUGUUUUUUACUGUUAUAAAAUUGUGUAUUUCAAAUAUUUGGGUAUAAUACGUGUGUCUGGAUAUAUUAGAUAUAUUAUAUGGUUGUUUUAUAUUGUGCAUAUACAAUGGAUAACUUAUGAGGGCUUAGUGUGACGAUUCAGAAUACAAUUUGAAUCCUGAUGAGACGCCAUGUUUUGCGGCGUCUCAUAAAGUGCAAAUAUUUCAAGGGAGACGACUGUUACAAGUUUCUGAUCAGCACAAAUUACACAAUUAACUCCCUUUCUUUACGGGCUCAAUGAAAAUGCUAUGUACACGUAUAAAACUGUUUUAGCUGUGACAGAUCCAUGUUACUGUUUAUUUGGUUUUGUGCAUAAUACAAUCUUUUUCUUGAUAAUUUGUGUUAAUGAAGAUUGAUUGUCUUUUUGCUCCAUACUACUACUUGUUUGCAGUAUUAAGAGUGUUAUUGUACUAUUGCAUUCAAUCGAUGCACAGUCAUGUGAUGUUGGUUUGUCACUGCUUUACGGGGGGUUGAAUUUGAAUUACACUCACUUUAGUUAUAGCUUUUCAGUUGAAUUUAAUUGUGUUUUUUGUAUACACUCAGAAUCUGUAAUGAUUACAGAGUUUUUAUGUUGUAGUAUUUGUAACUGAUAAUUUGUGGUUAAGGAUUGAGACAAAUUAUGGUUAAGAUUGAAGGAUUUUAUUUUUUAACAAAUCGUUCUAUGUUAUAUUUUAUAAUAAAAUGCAUCUUACA